rnacentral:rRNA from 1 species
GACGAACGCUGGCGGCGUGCCUAAUACAUGCAAGUCGAACGCAGGGGGGACGGGUGAGUAACACGUGGGUAACCGCCCAUCAGAGGGGAUAACCAUUGGAAACAGGUGCUAAACCGAUACUGAUGGAUGGACCCGCGGGGCAUUAGCUAGUUGGUGGGGUAACGCCGCACCAAGGCCACGAUGCAUAUCCGACCUGUGAGGGUGAUCGGCCAAACGGUGACGGAGACCAGGCCCAGACUCCUACGGGAGGCAGCAGUAGGGAAUCUGCGGCAAUGGACGAAAGUCUGACCGAGAAACGCCGCGUGAGUGAAGAAGGUUUUCGGAUCGUAAAACUCUGUUGUUAGAGAAGCGGUAUCUAACCAGAAAGCCACGGCUAACUACGUGCCAGCAGCCGCGGUAAUAC